CCAGACUCCUACGGGAGGCAGCAGUGGGGAAUAUUGCACAAUGGGGGGAACCCUGAUGCAGCAACGCCGCGUGGGUGAAGAAGUACUCCGGUAUGUAAAGCCCUGUCAGCAGGGAAGAAAAUGACGGUACCUGACCAAGAAGCCCCGGCUAACUACGUGCCAGCAGCCGCGGUAAUACGUAGGGGGCAAGCGUUAUCCGGAUUUACUGGGUGUAAAGGGAGCGUAGACGGCAAGGCAAGUCUGGAGUGAAAGCCCGUGGCCCAACCACGGGACUGCUUUGGAAACUGUGUUGCUGGAGUGCAGGAGGGGUAAGCGGAAUUCCUAGUGUAGCGGUGAAAUGCGUAGAUAUUAGGAGGAACACCGGUGGCGAAGGCGGCUUACUGGACUGUAACUGACGUUGAGGCUCGAAGGCGUGGGGAGCAAACAGGAUUAGAUACCCGAGUA
rnacentral:rRNA from 1 species